AUUAAUAUAUAUAUAUCCCUCUUACUCAACAGCCCACAGAUAUACCAAAUUUAUGAUAAAUUUGGCAGAUGAAAAAGUAGCGCUAGAUAAGAGAAAGCAGAUGGGGGUCAGACAAAGCAGUGGAACCAGUCUUGAAAUGUAGAACACUAAUGGAGAGACUGGAGGCAAAUGAAGGUCAGGAGCCAAAUCGUUGUCAAUGGGAUUUCAUUUUCCUAAAUAAAGAUGUGCAACAUUUUAUUCAUAAUCCAUGAAAAGCACUCUGGCACGUUUAUAGGACAAAGGCAAUAAACUAAUUUUGGUUUUAUUGACUGCAA